GAGAGAAACAGAAAGAAGACGAUUAGAAGAAAACAAGAACUGGACAAACUUGCUCAAAGUAAAGUACACCAGUCAAUACUGGGGUUUUGGUUUGUAGGGUCAAACUGUGAAAGCUUUUUGUAACAUAGCCUACUGUAGUAGCAUUGCUUUACCACUCAAGAGCCAUUUUCUGGCACAUAGUACAGUAUAAUUAAUCAUUUUGUACUUCACUCAUGUGUGAGAUUAAAGCAACUGAUUUCAGACGCCAAACAAGGCACAGCAGCGAGCGUUCUGUGGGUUAGUCUUCAAAAUGAGCCAACAUGGCUUUUUAAAAUGUAGUUAACUAGCUAGUUGGGACUCAAGCUAACUUGUGUCAUUUUCUAUAUUGUACAUCCGGUCCUACAGACUGGCGUUACACAGUCAGAAUGUAACCGAGCUAACUUAAACCCUUUUCUACGACAACUGCAUGCAAAGUACCCCCAGACCCCUGUACUGCAGGAUAAACCUGAGUGUUCAUGUACUGGACAGGUUUUUUUAACCAGCAAGACGCACAGGGAGGCCCUGGCAGUGCUGCUGGACCUUCUCAACCAGGAACGGAGACACGAAUGGGGUGCCACAACUGAGAUUCUGGUGUUUCUCUUCUGGCUGGCAAGUAGGGCAUCAUACAGGGUGGUCUCCAGUGCGUUUGCAAUGCCUCGUUCCACUGUCCACGGCAUCGUCCACAGAAUCACUGAUGAGGUGGUGGCCAUUUGCCACAAGACACCCUAAGCACACUCUGGAGACCACCCCAGAUGAUGUCCCACUGACAGAAAACACCAGAGUCUUAAUUGUGGGAGCCCAUCCAGGUCCAGCAGCACCACGAGAGACUCCCUGCUCAACUGAACAAAAAUAUACAUAAACACAUUUUCUAAGGCCUAAUAUUUAUGAAAUUGCAUUUAAGACUUUUUAAGGAACUGCAGACACCCUGUAUAUUCCACUUAUGUAUGUACUUUGUUGUAAAUAGUUGACAGCUGUAAAUGAAAUAAACACGUAUUUAACAAUUA